UUUCUUCGGGGCAGGGUGAUCGAGAACUUGAAUAUCGAAAUUCCCUACCGGCGGUAUAGUCCGCGACCCGCUUAGGCGGCUGAUUUGGUGAAAUUCCAAAACCGACAGUAAAGUCUGGAUGAGAGAAGA
rnacentral:ncRNA from 1 species